rnacentral:rRNA from 1 species
UACGUAGGUGGCAAGCGUUUGUCCGGAUUUAUUGGGUUUAAAGGGUGCGUAGGCGGCCCGUUAAGUCAGUGGUGAAAGCCUCCAGCUCAACUGGAGAACUGCCAUUGAUACUGGCGGGCUUGAGUACAGACGAGGUUGGCGGAAUUGAUUGUGUAGCGGUGAAAUGCAUAGAUACAAUCAAGAACACCGAUUGCGUAGGCAGCUAACUAGGCUGUAACUGACGCUGAGGCACGAAAGCGUGGGGAGCGAACAGG